GCAUCGAUGAAGAACGCAGCGAAAUGCGAUAAGUAAUGUGAAUUGCAGAAUUCAGUGAAUCAUCGAAUCUUUGAACGCACCUUGCGCUCCUUGGUAUUCCGAGGAGCAUGCCUGUUUGAGUGUCGUGUAAUUCUCAACCUAUAAAUCCUUGUGGUUUUUAGGCUUGGACUUGGAGGCUUUUGCUGGCUUUACCGUCGGCUCCUCUUAAACGCAUUAGCUUGAUUCCUUGCGGAUCGGCUCUCAGUGUGAUAAUUAUCUGCGCUGUGACCGUGAAGCGUUUGGCGAGCUUCUAACCGUCUCUUCGAGACAAACACUUUGACAUCUGACCUCAAAUCAGGUAGGACUACCCGCUGAACUUAAGCAUAUCAAUAAGCGGAGGAA
rnacentral:rRNA from 1 species